rnacentral:lncRNA from 1 species
CUCUAAUUCCAUAGGUCUGUGGCUGUGUAAGACGAGGAGGAGACAGAGAGAGGGCUGUUUCUCUUUCUUCCAUGAGAAGACACAGUGAGUAGGAAUCCAGAAAGAGGGCUCUCACCAGAACCUGAUCGGAUCAGAUGCUGGCACCCUGAUCUCAGCCGCCAGCACUGGGAGAAAAUAAGUUCUGUUGGAUAGGCCAGCCAGUCUGCCUUGUUUUGUUGCGGCAGCCCAAGCUGACUAAGACAAAUGCUAAGGAUAUGUGAGUUUGUCGAACCCAGGGCCCCUUAUGGCUUCCAGUCUCAGACUACUUGUGAAUGAAGAUAUUUACAUUUAGGUACAGGUUUUGGGGUGCCAUAGUUUUAUCUAAUUAGACAUUCUGAUAGGUAUAUAAAAUUUUGGUCAAGGGACUUAUGUUAUAAGGGAAAACAUUUUUGCUCCUUGGAGCUCAAUUUUUAUCCAUAAAACUUUAUGAUAUUAAAAUCUAGAUUUUUUUUUUUUUAAGACUCAUAGAAAGUAGAAGACACUUGAUUGUGAAUGUUUCUAACCAUUUUUAUUUGUCUUUGGAGUCACCUCUCAAGUUUUUGGAAAUAUGCUAUCAGUGUAGCAGCUUAGCUCAAGCAUUUACCAAUCUGUGAAGUUUUCUCCUCUAGGUAGUGGGAAGCUGCCCUGGCACCCUCUCUACUCCUACAAAGAGCAAAUAGCUUUUUGGGCUGACACUCAGCUUUUGCAUUAGGAAUGAACCUCUUUCUCAGUCUUCAGAUAUCUUGAAUUACACCUUUGACUUUCAAAUGUAUUCCCAGGUACCUGGAAAGUAAGAGUUAAGAGAGGCUGUAAUUAAUUAUUAAAUAAUCAACAAUAAAUAAGCAAAUGAGUAUUUAAAUACAAUAUAGGCUGCAAAUAAGGGAAAUUGAUAACCAAAGCCUUAAUUAAAGAGAAUAAAUACUGUCAGUUAACUUGAAAGAGAUAUUUUCCAAAUAAGCUACAAAUUGGAUAAUUAGGAGUUGAUAAUGAUAGAUUUUCCCUCACUAAUCUCUUUUUGCUUACCUCCUUUUAUGUGCUAAGCCUAAAGUAAAACAGUGUCCUUGAACAAAAACAAAAAGAAUUGCUUUCCUUUAGUAUUAUUUUUAGGGACUGCUAGUUCAUUCUGACUCACAAGCACAUAAAGUGUUAUCAGAUAAAAAUAAAACGUAAAUUUUAAAUCUACUUUUUCAUAUUUCUGAUAGUAGCAUGGGGGGAUGGUGUUUGUUCUGUCUACCAAUAUAGACUUCUAGAAGCAGGAAUUAAGUCCAUUAAAGCUUCUAGUAUAUUUAGGGUAUAACCAUAAUAUAUCUAACACAAUCACCAAUGUGUUGACGGUAACAUUUCAUAGAAAAAUAGAAUAUUUCUGAGCAUUGUUUUUGAUAUUUGAGGGACAGUGGUACAUAUUUCAAAUAUUACUGUCUCUUCUUUUUAUUGUUUGUAGAUUUUCUUUGAUAAAAGCCCAAUCUAAUCCAGAGUUCUCCAUCCCAUUUUAAUCUUGCCUGUUUAUGUUAUUUCUGAAUUGGAAAAAUUUCGUUAAAUGUGAAUUGAGUAAAUAACAACAUCAAAAACAACUAAUACUUACUGAUAGCCUAGCACGGACCUAAGUUCUGCUUUUAGUCCUUUUCAUGUAGUAGGUAUAUUAAUCCUUUGAUCCUCACAUUCCGUGAACAAUGAAAUUGAGUCUUUUUUUUUUUCUUUUUUGGAUACCCAGUGGCAUGUAGAGUUCACGGGCCAGGGAUCAGAUCCGAGCUGCAGUUGCAACCUCAGCUGUAGCUGUAGCAAUGCCAGGUAUUUAACCCACUGUGUGGGGCCAGGAUUGGACCUGGUCCCAGCACUUCCAAGACGCUGCCAAUCCCGUUGCACCACAGCAGGAACUCCAAAAUUGAGUCUUACAAGUCAUUGCUGAAGGUCAUAAAGACGUCAAGAGUUAAACCCAAGCUUAUCUUAUUAUGGAGCAAAGGUGUUCCUCAUUUUGUCUUAUUAGUUUUUUAUAUUACUUUAGAAACAAGACACUAAAAUAAAUAUUAUGCACUGUGGAUUCAGUACAUACAUAACCUCAGGGAAAAAUUAAUUCUAGAUCAUAUUUCAUCACCAACCAGCAAGUAUGUAGAAUCUGUCAAAUUAAAACUAGGUGGUCAAAUUAUUUUUCUUUUCAAGUGUUACCUGUAACCCAUUUAAAAUUUUCCUUGGUGCUUUAUAAGAAAAGGGGGCUUUUUUCCUAAAUAAUUAACCUGUAGUUUUUCAGCCUGCUCUGGCUUUUCUCCUUCCUCCCCCCAGGCCACCACAAUAUUCCCAUGGUCAGUGGACAAUAGUUUUCAUCAUGCCAACACUUUCUAGUACUCAUUACUGAGGAUCAUUUUCUGUACUUGAUGCUGACAUGUUCCCCUUUUAAAAUUUUCAUGAUGAAGUUUUAUUUUAAUUUCUAUUUGUGAAAAGAUAGAGUCCUGUGCAUGUGUAUGUAUGUCUCUGUGUAUGUGUCUGUGUGUGUUGAGGUCGUUUGAUGAAACAGGUGUUUGUUUUGUUUCAUUUUAAUCUUCUUCAUGUUAUUAGUUAACUAGUAAACACUACCUGCCUAGGACUUAAUUACAUCAUUUUUAUUCUUAAUUUCUUAUUUCUAUAAAGUACCUAUGAGGGUUUUGGGAGGUAACCCAAAGUAGCACAUAUUCUGCUUACGAAUUUGAAGAGGCUGCAUACCACUUGAUGUAUAAGACCCUUUAUUUAAUCAUAUGUCAGUAGUUUUGCUCUUUAGAUAUAUGAGACUGAAAUGAGGUUAGGGUGCUCUAUAACAGAACAGGAAGAAAAACGGAUGGGGUUAGUAAAAUUAGGCACUUUAACAAGGGCUUGGAAAGAGCUAGAUCUGAACUGGGAAUCCGACCGAGGCACAUAGUAAAGAGAAAACAAAUCUUUUGUUCAAUUUUAAAUCGCUGGAUUUGUAACACUUUUUUGGCAUAAAUCAAUUUGAUAUCUAAUUCACAGACACUGUUGGAUAGCAUAGCGAUUGAAGCCAGGGUAGAUGGAAGUUAAAUCUAGUAUUUCCUUUUUGCUUCAUUGUAACUGUAUCUUUUCUACAAAGGUCAGUGAUAGCAAUUUCAUUUUGAGACUGUAAUUUAGAAGGUAAAAAAAAAAAUCAAAUGAAACCUACAAAUGUCACUUUCCUUGUUCGCAUUUUGCCUCAAAGUCUUGGAGAGUGAGAAAUAUUAGGUUUUUAUUUUAAUCAUUUGGAUGAUUGUGGACUAAGGGUGUCCAGUAUAUUUAAGCACCCACUGGUGAAUUAUUUAUCUCAAAGAACUCUAGUACAUGAAAUAAAUAUAAAAGCUAAAUUCCAUUACAUACUUACAAUGAGCCAGGCACUGUUCUAAGCACUUUAUAUGUAUUAUCGCCUUUAAUUAACAGAAUAGCCUACUAUGUUAAGAACGGUUAUGAUAGUUAACUCACAGACCAGGAACUUGAAGGUUAAAGGAAUUAAGCAUGCAGUAACUUAACUAAGGCUCCAUAGAUAAUAAGUAGUAGAUUCGGAGUUAAUUCCACCCAAUACUGCUAAUGUAAGCAGGUAAAUGUACAGAUCCUUGCAGUGAUGAGCGAACUGAGGCAAGACCUUGGAUGCCACUGGCUAGAUCUGCCUUUUGACCCUCAAAGUAUUUCCUAAGGAAAUUCUAGGGGUCCUCAUCUCUACUGUAUUUAAAAAAAAAAUCUGAAUUUCCAUUCCAGGUGCUUGACUAAGUGCUGUUGGAACUUCUCUCCCUAUCAAGUAUCAACUAAGAUGGUUUUAAAGGAAGACAAAUGACAUAAAACAUACCACCACCUUCAUUCAUCCAGUUUCUCAUGCCACAACCCAAAGAGCAUCAAAAAUGCUCCUCUUGCUUUCACACUGUCACAUCUGAUCCAUCAAUAAGUUCAAUGUUUUUCGGAGUUCCCAUCGUGGCUCAGCGGAAAUGAAUCCAACUAGGAACCAUGAGGUUGUGGGUUUGAUCCCUGGCCUUGCUCAGUGGGUUAAGGAUCCGGCAUUACCGUGAGCUGUGUAGGUUGCAGAUGCGGCUCGGAUCUGGUGUUGCUCUGGCUCUGGCAUAGGCCGGGGGCUAUAGCUCUGUUUAGACCCCUAGCCUGGGAACCUCCAUAUGCC